AUGCUACUCUUCUAUCUUAAAAUAAACAAACUACGUUUAUGAUGUGACACAUUCUAGUACUAUGAAUAGGAAUAUGCUAUGAAUCUAUGGUACUAUGAUGUGUCACAUCCCGUAUUACAUUUGUUUAUUUUGAGAUCAAGGGAGUAGUUU
rnacentral:misc_RNA from 1 species